rnacentral:rRNA from 1 species
GUCUACGGCCAUGCUACCCUGAACAAGCCCGAUCCCGUCUGAUCUCGGAAGUUAAGCAGGGUUGGGCCUGGUUAGUACUUGGAUGGGAGACCACCUAGGAAAACCAGGUGCUAUAGGCA